rnacentral:misc_RNA from 1 species
AGCAGCCGCGGUAAUUCCAGCUCCAAUAGCGUAUAUUAAAGUUGUUGCAGUUAAAAGCUCGUAGUUGAAUUUCGGGGUUAGUAGGUUGGUCAUGCCUCUGGUAUGUACUGGUCUCACUGAUUCCUCCUUCCUGAUGAGCCGUAAUGCCAUUAAUUUGGUGUUGCGGGGAAUUUGGACUGUUACUUUGAAAAAUUAGAGUGUUUAAAGCAAGCUAACGCUUGAAUACAUUAGCAUGGAAUAAUGAAAUAGGACGUUCGAUCCUAUUUUGUUGGUUUCUAGGAUUGACGUAAUGAUUAAUAGGGAUAGUUGGGGGCAUUAGUAUUCAAUUGUCAGAGGUGAAAUUCUUGGAUUUAUUGAAGACUAACUACUGCGAAAGCAUUUGCCAAGGAUGUUUUCAUUAAUCAAGAACGAAAGUUAGGGAUCGAAGACGAUCAGAUACCGUCGUAGUCUUAACCAUAAACUAUGCCGACUAGGGAUCGGAUGAUGUUAAUUUUUAAUGUACUCAUUCGGCGCCUUAACC